GAUGAACGCUGGCGGCGUGCCUAAUACAUGCAAGUCGAGCGAACAGACGAGGAGCUUGCUCCUCUGACGUUAGCGGCGGACGGGUGAGUAACACGUGGAUAACCUACCUAUAAGACGGGGAUAACUUCGGGAAACCGGAGCUAAUAGCGGAUAAUAUAUUGAACCGCAUGGUUCAAUAGUGAAAGACGGUUUUGCUGUCACUUAUAGAUGGAUCCGCGCCGCAUUAGCUAGUUGGUAAGGUAACGGCUUACCAAGGCAACGAUGCGUAGCCGACCUGAGAGGGUGAUCGGCCACACUGGAACUGAGCCACGGUCCAGACUCCUACGGGAGGCAGCAGUAGGGAAUCUUCCGCAAUGGGCGAAAGCCUGACGGAGCGACGCCGCGUGAGUGAUGAAGGUCUUCGGAUCGUAAAACUCUGUUAUUAGGGAAGAACAAAUGUGUAAGUAACUAUGCACGUCUUGACGGUACCUAAUCAGAAAGCCACGGCUAACUACGUG
rnacentral:rRNA from 1 species